UACGGGGGGAGCAAGCGUUGUUCGGAUUUACUGGGCGUAAAGGGCGCGUAGGCGGUCAGCACAAGUCAGUUGUGAAAUCUCCGGGCUUAACUCGGAAAGGUCAACUGAUACUGUGCGACUAGAGUGCAGAAGGGGCAACUGGAAUUCUCGGUGUAGCGGUGAAAUGCGUAGAUAUCGAGAGGAACACCUGCGGCGAAGGCGGGUUGCUGGGCUGACACUGACGCUGAUGCGCGAAAGCCAGGGG
rnacentral:rRNA from 1 species